AAACGGGCUGGUGGGAUAGGCUUCAGAGACAUGCAUCUAUUCAGCCAAGCACUCCUUGCUAAACAAGGUUGGAGGCUAAUCCAAUUCUCGGAUAGUUUAUCCACGAGAGUCCUGAAAUCAAAGUAAUAUCCGAAUGGUGACCUUCUAGACACCGUCUUUGCCUUGGAUACCUCCCCGGUGUGGAAGGCAAUAGAAUUUGGCCUA
rnacentral:rRNA from 1 species